GGGGAAUUGUUCGCAAUGGGCGCAAGCCUGACGACGCAACGCCGCGUGGAGGACGAAGAUCUUCGGGUCGUAAACUCCUGUCGAGCGGGAAGAACGCUUCGCGGAUGAAUAAGCCGCGGAGGUGACGGUACCGCUAAAGGAAGCCCCGGCUAACUCCGUGCCAGCAGCCGCGGUAAUACGGAGGGAGCUAGCGUUGUUCGGAAUUACUGGGCGUAAAGGGCUCGUAGGCGGCCAACCAAGUCCGACGUGAAAUCCCCAGGCUUAACCUGGGAACUGCGUCGGAUACUGGAUGGCUUGAAUUCGGGAGAGGGAUGCAGAAUUCCAGGUGUAGCGGUGAAAUGCGUAGAUAUCUGGAGGAAUACCGGCGGCGAAGGCGGCAUCCUGGACCGACAUUGACGCUGAGGAGCGAAAGCUAGGGGAGCAAA
rnacentral:rRNA from 1 species